GAAGAUUCUCUUUAUUCCCACCUCAAGCUCGGUCAUUGGCUGUCCUCCUCAAUCGAUUAGACUAUGGCGAAUCACUUGUGUAUUGGUCUUUGGGAAAGUGUAAGACGCUAUUGCUCGCAACUGGGUCUUGAGUGUCGGUCUAACAAAAAAGUCAACUCUAGUUGCUUCUCUUGUCCGAUCGGAAACUGGUCUUCUUUUUAUGGUGUAAGGGUCGGCAACAGCUCCCUUUGGAAGGAAUCGAUCGUCAACGUCUUUGGUUCUCUCCACCCGCCGCCUUCGGUCAACUCAAACAACAGGCCAGGAAGGACAUUGUUGAAGGCUCACUGAGUGCUUCUAGGUUAAAGGGAAGCACUAGACUCACUCCACGGGAACUCGCUUUUCGGUUU
rnacentral:lncRNA from 1 species